GAUGAACGCUGGCGGCGUGCCUAAUACAUGCAAGUCGAGCGAACGGACGAGAAGCUUGCUUCUCUGAUGUUAGCGGCGGACGGGUGAGUAACACGUGGAUAACCUACCUAUAAGACUGGGAUAACUUCGGGAAACCGGAGCUAAUACCGGAUAAUAUUUUGAACCGCAUGGUUCAAAAGUGAAAGACGGUCUUGCUGUCACUUAUAGAUGGAUCCGCGCUGCAUUAGCUAGUUGGUAAGGUAACGGCUUACCAAGGCAACGAUGCAUAGCAGACCUGAGAGGGUGAUCGGCCACACUGGAACUGAGACACGGUCCAGACUCCUACGGGAGGCAGCAGUAGGGAAUCUUCCGCAAUGGGCGAAAGCCUGACGGAGCAACGCCGCGUGAGUGAUGAAGGUCUUCGGAUCGUAAAACUCUGUUAUUAGGGAAGAACAUAUGUGUAAGUAACUGUGCACAUCUUGACGGUACCUAAUCAGAAAGCCACGGCUAACUACGUGC
rnacentral:rRNA from 1 species